rnacentral:rRNA from 1 species
CACGUAGGGUGCAAGCGUUGUCCGGAAUUAUUGGGCGUAAAGAGCUCGUAGGCGGUCUGUCGCGUCUGCUGUGAAAACUCGGGGCUUAACCCCGGCCUGCAGUGGGUACGGGCAGACUAGAGUGCGGUGGGGGAGACUGGAAUUCCUGGUGUAGCGGUGAAAUGCGCAGAUAUCAGGAGGAACACCGGUGGCGAAGGCGGGUCUCUGGGCCGAUACUGACGCUGAGGAGCGAAAGCGUGGGGGGAGCGAACAGG